AGGAAACCCGGAAGUAUCGCCGUGAAUCACAUGAGAGUUGUGAAUGCGAUGUUGUGGAUUAGGCUGUACAUAAUAUUAACGGAAAGAGAGUGAUAAUAUAUAACCUUUCAUCGCUUCCGAAGUGACUAAAAGGGAUAUUGGACCUUAUUUUCAGAUUACAGACAACACGAGAGGGUGCUUCAAACUUUUUAAUCAGGACUGCAUUGUUUGUUCGCUCCCGGGGUUACAUAGACUGAAACGAGGAAGUGUGACGAGUUUGUUUACAUGGUGCUGUAAACUUCAACCCAGGAGGACACUUCAAAGGAAUCAAGGUGUCUGUGAUAUUGAAACACUAAAGGAAGAAGAGGAGGACCACCAUUCGUUUCCUGAGCAGAAAAAAAAUUAAGCAUAUCUAACAGUGGUUCUGGGGCAUUGCAAGACUAUGGUUACCUGGAAACAUCUCCUAUUAUGGAAGAUUAUCGCAACAUUUGUGUCUUGGAUCAUUUUUUCUUGUUUCUCUGCCACAGAUUUAGCUGUAAGGUUUAAAGGUCCCGUUUAUCCUGAUCCCAUUUUUUAAACUUUAGUUGGUGUGUAAUGUUGCUGUUAGAGCAUAAAUAAUAUCUGUAAAAUUAUAAAGCUCAAAAUUCUAUACCAAGCGAUAUAUUUUCUUUAAUAGAAUUUCCCUUUCAAAGCCUAUAGCAAACGGCAAGUUU